rnacentral:rRNA from 1 species
GCGUGGGUACCUGCCUCAUACAGGGGGAUAACAGUUAGAAAUGACUGCUAAUACCGCAUAAGACCGCAUGGUAAAAACUCCGGUGGUAUGAGAUGGACCCGCGUCUGAUUAGCUGGUUGGCGGGGUAACGGCCCACCAAGGCGACGAUCAGUAGACGACCUGAGAGGGUGACCGGCCACAUUGGGACUGAGACACGAUCCAAACUCAUACGGGAGGCAGCAAUGUGGAAUAUUGCACAAUGGGGGAAACCCUGAUGCAUCCACGCCGCGUGAGUGAAGAAGUAUUUCGGUAUGUAAAGCUCUAUCAGCAGGGAAGAAAGUGACGGUACCUGACUAAGAAGCCCCGGCUAACUACCUGCCAGCAGCCGCGGUAAUACGUAGGGGGCAAGCGUUAU